rnacentral:tRNA from 1 species
GGUAAAAUGGCUGAGGUUUAGGCAAUAGACUGUAAAUCUAUUUAGGAGGAAAUAUCCCUCUUUUACCA